ensembl:lncRNA
CCAUCCAUAUUUGUUCCCAUUAAACAUCUCUUCGCCUGUCUGUCUGUAGGAGCUGGCGCGCCUGCUUGAACAGCUGGAGAAGCUGCGUGCUGCAGAGAGGACCAGUGGAAGUGAGAAUGGGACAGCAGGGGAGAGGCUCCAGAAACUUCAGAAGGAGGCUGGUUCUCUGGCCAAUGAAACUGAAGACAUGAUUAAGUUACUAACAGAGAAAACAACCUCUCUGUAUGAACUACAGCAAGAAGUCCUAAUGAAGUCUGAGAACCUGACAGGCCUGGACACCCAACUGCAGGACAUCCUGGCUGAAAUGAGAGAAAAGGUCAAGUUCCUCACCACCUGCAUUGGCUGAGUCGAUCGGGACAAAGCUCGUCCGGCUUGUUCUUUGGGAUAAGGGAGCAAUGUUACAUAUUUAUUUUAUCCCACUUUCUGGAGGAUGAAUGUCCCAUUAAAGAGAUGUUUA